GGGAGAGGAAGCCCCGAGCCUCGGACGGGGGCCAGGGUCCACCAGCAGGACAGGGGGGCUCUCAGCUGCACAGCCGGCUCCCAGAGGGGCCUGUAGGAAACGCUCAGAAAACAGGCAGAUGCUUUCUGUCCCCAGCUGGGGUUUUGUUAUGCAUUCUGGGCUGGCCUGAGCCCACAGCUGUCCCCCUGCACACCACAGCAAGAAGUUUAACAGCGACCUCUCCUCACUGCAGUCCACAAUGUUAUCCUCAGCUGCCGGCCACAAGGACCACAGGCACCAGGGGUGGAAGAGGAGCUUAUCUGAGGCCCGCGGAGACAGCGGGUCCUGUGUGUCAGUCUCCGGCAGAAGGCCUGCUCAGCCCCCAUCCAUCCUGGGUGCCUUGGGGUCACAGCACCAGUGCAGAUGGAGUCCACCUUGGGGGCGAGCCAGGCUGGCCUCCUGCUCUCAGGUCCUCGCCUCUGCCAGGACAGCUUGGAGCCAUGGGGAGCAGGCUGCCCAAGGCCUCAGCACACAGUGAACACGGAGGCGGCCUGGCCCUGGUGUUUCUCCUGCUCCGACUUGAGGAUGGGAACCAGGUUCUGGAAGGUGGGCCGGAAGGAGGCCUGGGCUUCCCAGCAGUUCUUCAUGAGGAGAUAGAUCUGGCGGAGGAGAAGCGGGCUGCAAGACUGCUGCUUCCUGCCAGCUCAGUCUGGGAAACGGACAGGGCGGGGCGGCUCACCUCCGGGGGACAUCUGUCUGGCCGGGGCAACCUCUCUCCUUGUUCCAGCAACUCCGUGAGCCUCAGCACAGUCAUCUGGCCCUGGGUGACGCCUAUGAGCUCCAUGAAUUUCUAGGUACAAGCCACAUGAGCUUUUUUUUUUUUCUUUUUUUCCCCCUGAGGCAGCAAAGACCACCAGGCAGAGGCCAAGAGCCUGGGAUUCCAAGGUCACAAGUUCUAAUCCCACCUCAACACUUCUCAGCUGUGUGAUUUUGGAUUUCUCACCAAGCCUCUCUGGGCCUCAGUUUCUCAUUCCUGAAAUGGGAUGCUAACCCUAACCACAUCUACCACUUUAGGUUGGGAUAAAGUUACAAAAAUUAACGGGGAGUAAGCCUCAGUCACAGGCUUGCUGUUAGAAAGCUUCUCAGGAAGUGGGUUUGAAUUCUGAGGACUAAAGAUUUCUGUAAGUUUUUUUUUUUUUUUCCGGUCUUUUUUUGAGACAGGGUCUCGCUAAUGCAGUUCAGGCUGGUCUUGAGCUCACUUUGUAGCCCAGGCUGGCCUAAACAUUGCAGCGAUCCUCUUGCCUCAGUCUCCUGAGUGCUGGGGUACAAGCAUGAGCCACCAGGCCUUGUUUGUAAUUAAUUUCUUGAAAUGAGGUUUUCAUUAUGUUGCCCAGAUUGCUUUUGUGAGUCCUAGACUCAAGCAAUCAUCUUGCCUUAGUCUCUGGAGUAGCUGGAUUAUAGCUGUGUAGAAAGCUUCCAAGGAAGGCACAAGUUUUUUCUUCAUUAAAUACAUCUUGCUUAGCCCUGCCCCUAACCCAGGCCUGGCCAAUCACUGAAACCCACGGAUAAGCAGUGAUUGGCUAGAAAGUGGAUACAUGAGCCAAGUUAGGCCAAUCAGAUAAAGUCCUGGGGUUUAUGUGCGGGGGGAGGGAUAAAGGAAGACCCUUGGUCCUCAUCAUUUCAACAGCGUUUCUGUUACACAGCCCUGCUGUAAGAGUAAUGGUACCCACCUGUCUCAGCCUUUGGGAGGCUGAGGCAGGAGGAUUGCAAGACUGAGCCUGCCUGACCAAUUUACCAAGACUAUGUCUUAAAAUAAAAAGUAAAAAUUUCUGCUGAA